AAAAAGGCCCUCAUCAGGGCCACUUCCCAAAUCCUUCAAGACGAUCU
rfam:Acyrthosiphon pisum strain LSR1 Contig24484, whole genome shotgun sequence.